rnacentral:rRNA from 1 species
AACAGGAUUAGAUACCCUGGUAGUCCACGCCGUAAACGAUGUCGACUUGGAGGUUGUGCCCUAGAGGCGUGGCUUCCGGAGCUAACGCGUUAAGUCGACCGCCUGGGGAGUACGGCCGCAAGGUUAAAACUCAAAUGAAUUGACGGGGGCCCGCACAAGCGGUGGAGCAUGUGGUUUAAUUCGAUGCAACGCGAAGAACCUUACCUACUCUUGACAUCCAGAGAACUUAGCAGAGGUGCUUUGGCGCCUUCGGGAACUCUGAGACAGGUGCUGCAUGGCUGUCGUCAGCUCGUGUUGUGAAAUGUUGGGUUAAGUCCCGCAACGAGCGCAACCCUUAUCCUUUGUUGCCAGCGGUUAGGCCGGGAACUCAAAGGAGACUGCCAGUGAUAAACUGGAGGAAGGUGGGGAUGACGUCAAGUCAUCAUGGCCCUUACGAGUAGGGCUACACACGUGCUACAAUGGCAUAUACAAAGAGGAGCGACCUCGCGAGAGCAAGCGGACCUCAUAAAGUAUGUCGUAGUCCGGAUUGGAGUCUGCAACUCGGCUCCAUGAAGUCGGAAUCGCUAGUAAUCGUGGAUCAGAAUGCCACGGUGAAUACGUUCCCGGGCCUUGUACACACCGCCCGUCACACCAUGGGAGCGGGUUGCAAAAGAAGUAGGUAGCUUAACCUUCGGGAGGGCGCUUACCACUUUGUGAUUCAUGACUGGGGUGAAGUCGUAACAAGGUAACC